rnacentral:rRNA from 1 species
AACGAACGCUGGCGGCAUGCCUAACACAUGCAAGUCGAACGAGACCUUCGGGUCUAGUGGCGCACGGGUGCGUAACGCGUGGGAACCUGCCCUUAGGUUCGGAAUAACUCCCCGAAAGGGGUGCUAAUACCGGAUAAUGUCUUCGGACCAAAGAUUUAUCGCCUUUGGAUGGGCCCGCGUUGGAUUAGCUAGUUGGUAGGGUAAAAGCCUACCAAGGCGACGAUCCAUAGCUGGUCUGAGAGGAUGAUCAGCCACACUGGGACUGAGACACGGCCCAGACUCCUACGGGAGGCAGCAGUGGGGAAUAUUGGACAAUGGGCGAAAGCCUGAUAAAGCAAUGCCGCGUGAGUGAUGAAGGCCUUAGGGUUGUAAAGCUCUUUUAACCGAGAUGAUAAUGACAGUACCGGGAGAAUAAGCUCCGGCUAACUCCGUG